UACGUAGGGUGCGAGCGUUGUCCGGAAUUAUUGGGCGUAAAGAGCUCGUAGGCGGUUUGUUGCGUCGGCUGUGAAAUCCCGAGGCUCAACCUCGGGUCUGCAGUCGAUACGAGCAAACUAGAGUGUUGCAGGGGAGACUGGAAUUCCUGGUGUAGCGGUGAAAUGCGCAGAUAUCAGGAGGAACACCGGUGGCGAAGGCGGCCGGCUGGGGGGUGCCCUGACGCUGAGGCGCGAAAGCGUGGGGAGCGAACCGG
rnacentral:rRNA from 1 species